AGAGUCACUGCCUGCUGCUCAUUUGGCUGGUGGUGGAUGUCAGGUGUCUUUUUCUGAAAGGAAACGAGAUGGACACAUGACACUCCCCUGGCACGCAGGAUGUCUCAUCUCCUUCAGGUAUCUUCAUCCAGAUACUCACUGGCGGGGGUUUUAAGUAAAUCAAGACACUGCCCGGGGCUGGGACAGCGCUCCUGGACUUCUUGCCCACUUGCUGGGACAGGUGAGGUGAGCACAAGGCUCUUCAGUGGUGGCCAGAAUGCAAGCACGGCUCUCCGAUUUUUGAGAAGGAAGGGUUUCAUGAGUCUGGACUUUGUCUGACAAAGGGCCUUCCCAUCUGGAAAGAAAUGAAGAUCAAAAGUCCCUUCAGGAAUAUGUCCAGGUCUUCAGGCUCAGAGAAAGGGCCCCAGUUUGAAGAGCUGUCAGACUCAGACAGAUUCAGUGACAUUUGGAAAGUAAUUUGAAUUACCAGAGGACCAUGGAUAUUGGAUGGUUGGCAAAAAUGUCUCCCCCACACCUGCUGUCAGCACCAAUCAACCGCUGGUCCAGCUUCCUCUAGAGAGGAGCAUUGCCCUCACCUACAUUUUGGUGUCUUAUGGAGUUAUAUCAUUUGGGUUGGCAGCCUGGGUGUGUUGCUGGCGAGAAAUAAUAGUCUGCGACUGGGAUCAUCCGCAGGGAAGAUUCUGGGGUUUAGAAAGUUCUUCUCGGGUGUUCUGAGUUUUCCAGUAAGGAUGGGGACUUGAGUACUUCCUCCAUGAUCACCACCAUCAUUGGGAGUCACCCAUUACGGGCACAUGGGGGCCGAACCCUCCAGCCAUCCUACAAGAGCCAAGAUGUCCAUCAACAGAUGAAUGAAUAAAGA